GGGGCCGUGGCUCAGUGGUGGAGCAUCUGCUUUGUGCGCAGAAGGGCCCAGGUUCAAUCCCUGGCAGCUCCA